ensembl:lncRNA
UUCCAUGAUGCUCAGUUAUCUGCCUGCCCCAAGCUAUCCAAAGGGAUGGAUUUGCAUGGACACUGCUCCCCUGUGGAAGGGAAUGCCAGGAAUGACUGGUCUGGUACUACCUGCCCCGGUGAGCUUCCAUUCAAAUAAUGCACAUGCCACCAAAACAAUUCAGAUCAAAGCUCUGCCUUUCCACUGAAUUCAAAUGUGAGGACUUCUAAAGCAAUUUUAGCAGUUGGCUUUACAAAUGAACUUAUGUCAGCUGCUCUGUAUGAUGAGUGACUAAAUUACUCCUGUAUCUAAUCUUAUCUCACUAUCUGUCUGUCUGUUUUUCAGCAUUUCAGUGCCCAUCACUGCAUUAUCCAGGCGCCACCAUAAGAUUAAGGAGCUCUGCAGUGACAUUCUCAACGUGGUCUGCUCAAAGGUCAUUAGCAGAGCCUUCCAUUCUGGAAAAGCCCAGAGGAGGGCACGGGAGUGAGCCACAGAAGGGGAGGAGAAGGAGAAGGAGAAGGAGAAGGAGAAGGAGAAGGAGAAGGAGAAGGAGAAGGAGAAGGAGAAGGAGAAGGAGAAGGAGAAGGAGAAGGAGAAGGAGAAGGAGAAGGAGAAGGAGAAGGAGAAGGAGAAGGAGAAGGAGAAGGAGAAGGAGAAGGAGAAGGAGAAGGAGAAGGAGAAGGAGAAGGAGAAGGAGAAGGAGAAGGAGGAGGCAGCAACUGGAGCCUUUCUGGCUGUGCUCCAUGGAGGGGACGUGCUCAGGUGGUGCUGCAGUGCAGGGGCCUGGUGGCAGUGGCCCUUGUGCUGCUGCAGGGACUGUCACACUUGCUGUGGGCUCCUGUCACCUCAGACUUUGGCUCCCAUGGCCCUGCUGUCCCUGAGCUGCUCUCAGAUGCCAUUCCCAUGCUGGGACUGUAUGAUUCCAGGAUGCUCCAGCCUCAGAGCAGGAUAUUUCCCUCAAAGAUCCCAGAGCAGGCACUGCCACUCAGGAAGCACCUUCUCUGAGAGGAUACACUAGUUAAAUUUUAUCUUCCUCCCAGUGGGCAAAUCCUCCCAGCUCCCUGUGUUCGAAGGAGCCAGAAAGGGUUUCAAUGUGCACAGAGCUACCCUGGACCCACGGGAUCAGGAGAGAGGACGCUGUCCCAGGGCUCCCAGUGCUGUCCCCCUGCAGCUGCGGUGUCUCUGGGGACAGCCUGGGGAGGUGGCAGUGCCCGCGCCCCGCUCCCACAGCUGCUGAUAUUUGCCUGGCUUUUGCCACUGGUCCCGUGGGCACUGCUGAAGGGAAAUCUCCUCUCUGGUGUCACUGAGGCAGGUGAGGCACUGAGCCCAUCCACGAGGCUGCCCUGUCAGGGGGAUGUGCUGGGCCACACUUGGGUGCUGUGCAGUGCUGCUGCACCUCCGCUCUGCACUCCUGAGCACUGCAAACACUGCUCACUUCUGGGAACGUUUCCAUCAGCCCUUACAGGGCCUUUCAGAACCCCUCCAGUGCUUCCCUGUCCUGCCUGGCAGCCAAGGUGUGGGCAUGGCAGGGUUUGUUGUCACUGUCCCUUUGUCCCUGCAGCCAGAGUGGGCCUGGAGUCACAGACUGGCACAGGAGAGGGCCUGGCAGGGCUCAGGGCAGCUCAGGAAGGCAGAGCUCCCUUCCCAGGCAGGAAAGGGAAGAUGCUAUCCAGUUCUGAGGGUGAGCUAAAAUUCCUGGAGAUUAUGGGGCAGGAUGGAAAUAUGGCCCCUGCAGAGGAUUUCCUAAUGAGGCACAGGCUGCUCAGUGAGGGAAAAAAUUACUUUCUAAUAGCAUGUGCCUAUUUUACAUGUAUAAUGAGCCAGACUCUGUGUGGUCAGAUGAGUGCAGGGAAGGGUUUGGAGUGAGGGACAGUUGUGCUUCUGGCCUUUGCAGUCACCAGUUACCCUGGAGAGAGCAGAGUGGAAAAGCAGAGCGCUGUCUGCAGAAACCAGCAUGUCGCAAACCCAAGAGGUCCAUGUGCCAUCACAGGAACAUGUGGAUCAGCAGGUUGGGAAGGCACUGGCUGAGAGCACAGCUCCCACCCUGGUGAGCAGUGUCAGAGCUGUGGAACCAUCUCAUUGUGCUCUCCCAGGCCGGGGCCCUUGGGUGGCAGCUGUAGGAAAGGGUGA